ACCUUUCUCCAAACAACGUUGCCACACGCGGAGAGCACGGAGAUUUCUGGGGCUUUGGAGGGAAUCGUGAGCGGGCGGGAGGAGGCCGGGGACCACACAGAGAAUAACUUGUCUGACUACCAGUAUUCUUGGAUGCAGAAGUGCUGAAGAUGAGCACACACACGUACGGAGAAUUUCUGGAGAAUUCAGCUGCUCAGAACAAGAACUGAGAUCCAGAGAGAUGAUGACUUUGCCCAUAGACCAAACAAAGAAAUACAUGUUUCAGUCCUGUGUCCUCCUGCUAUGUGUGUCCGGAAUUGGUGGGUUCUUGGUCUCACUGACUUCAAGAAUGAAGCUGCGGACCCUCGCGGACCGUGUGUGAAUGCCUGCUCUGUGAGCCCUCAGAAUCUACUGGCUGAAUGAGUGCGUGGAGGAAAUGUGCUCAGAGCUGCUGUGUGUCAUCCUGUGUUUGAAGUGCUCCUGCAGCUAUCAUUCAUCCAGUUAAGAAUUUGAAGAAGUGUGUGCACAAAGGAUGUACCAGACUAUUAAUAUUGGUGACCAUGGGCUAGGGACUCACAGGAUAUCGGCCAUGUUAAUGAGUCUGAUGUUGCUAGUAUCACAGGCACCGGAAAAUAUGCACAUUAUGCUGGAGCAUUAGAAUGCAACAGAAAGAGCCCUGGGCUUGGAGUAUGCAGAACUGGUUCUUGUUACAACUCCUCUUACUAGUGGGCUGCUAUGGACCUAAAGUGGAGGGCUUUGAAAUUUCCUGCUUAAUUGGGCUGCAUGUCAUUGCUGUCCUUAGAAGUUGCUCUGGGAUGCAGCUCUGGAAGAAAACACAUUGAAUUCAUGAUCAUGGUUAACCUUUGGAGAGAGAGAGGAGACCAGGAUGAAGGAGCCAGUCGAAGAUCCUGUUCAAGUGUACACUGAGCCAGCAGGUUCACCAGAAAGCUAUUGAGCGUUUGCUGGAACACAUUAUGCAGGGUGAAUUUCUUCUGGAAUGUUGCCAAGGAUUUUUUAUGCUUCUGUGGCAGGCAUUUCUUGAACAUUGUCAUUUAGCCAAGCAAAGAAGAUUUUCUUAAAGGAUAGAAAAUGUUUAAAAAUUUUUGUUUGUUUGAAGAUAGGUUAAAUGGCUAUAUGAUCUCAGGAUAAGACAGAGAAAAUCACUUAUUUCUCUAAGUGAUCUGAUUAGGUUAGUGAUGUUUUGCCUUUAAACAGAUUCAUCAUUAUUCCUAAAGUAUUGCUGUAUUAAUACUGUCUUCUAGAAAGUA
rnacentral:lncRNA from 1 species